rnacentral:lncRNA from 1 species
AAUUAAGUGAGAGAAUUGAAUAGACUUUUAGAUACCUACUUCCAAUAUUAAAGGUAUUAUUUCAUAGAACCUACUACCAAAACAUAUUACUUCAUAAAACCUAUUUCCAAAAGGUAUGAUUUCAUUAGAACUACUUCAAAAAGGUAUUAUUUCGUAGGUCUUUCAUCAACUUAUUCUAUUAACAUUAAAACAGAAUAGCAGCACUAUGCAUAAUUUUUACUAGGAUUUAAACCAUUUCUUACUUCUAAAAUCUAUGACAUUAAAUUUGCUGAGUGUAUUUGAAAACUAAAAAUUGUAUUCAUUACAAAAAUCUCUUUUUAUGCUUGAACAAAAGUUUUCUUUUAUAAACAGUGAUAAAGGCCCUUAAUUUAAUAGACAGUUAUUGUACAAUAUUAAUAUUCAAUUAUUGGCCCAGUUAAACAAAUGUAAAUUACCCACAAGGCAAUUCCAAGGCAAUAAUGGUGAUAUCACAAAAAUAUAGUAACAGGUAGUAUUAGUGACUAUAUAUAGAAACCCAGA